rnacentral:rRNA from 1 species
UACGUAGGGUGCAAGCGUUGUCCGGAAUUAUUGGGCGUAAAGAGCUCGUAGGCGGUCUGUCGCGUCGGAUGUGAAAAUCCAGGGCUCAACCCUGGACCUGCAUUCGAUACGGGCAGACUAGAGUUCGGUAGGGGAGACUGGAAUUUACGGUGUAGCGGUGAAAUGCGUAGAUAUCGUAAGGAAGACCAGUGGCGAAGGCGGGUCUCUGGACAGUUCCUGACGCUGAGGCACGAAGGUCAGGGGAGCAAACGGG